rnacentral:rRNA from 1 species
UACGUAGGGUGCAAGCGUUAAUCGGAAUUACUGGGCGUAAAGCGUGCGCAGGCGGUUUUGUAAGUUUGUCGUGAAAUCCCCGGGCUCAACCUGGGAAUGGCGAUGAAGACUGCAAGGCUAGAGUUUGGCAGAGGGGGGGUAGAAUUCCACGUGUAGCAGUGAAAUGCGUAGAGAUGUGGAGGAACACCGAUGGCGAAGGCAGCCCCCUGGGUCAAAACUGACGCUCAUGCACGAAAGCGUGGGGAGCAAACAGG